CAGUCGCCGCGGUAAUACGUAGGGUGCGAGCGUUAAUCGGAAUUACUGGGCGUAAAGCGUGCGCAGGCGGUUUUGUAAGACAGGCGUGAAAUCCCCGGGCUCAACCUGGGAAUGGCGCUUGUGACUGCAAAGCUAGAGUGCGGCAGAGGGGGAUGGAAUUCCGCGUGUAGCAGUGAAAUGCGUAGAUAUGCAGAGGAACACCGAUGGCGAAGGCAAUCCCCUGGGCCUGCACUGACGCUCAUGCACGAAAGCGUGGGGAGCAAACAGGAUUAGAUACCCCGGUAGUCCCUGUCUCUUAUAC
rnacentral:rRNA from 1 species